rnacentral:rRNA from 1 species
CGGCUCAAAGAGGGGGACCUUCGGGCCUCUCGCGUCAGGAUAUGCCCAGGUGGGAUUAGCUAGUUGGUGAGGUAAGGGCUCACCAAGGCGACGAUCCCUAGCUGGUCUGAGAGGAUGAUCAGCCACACUGGAACUGAGACACGGUCCAGACUCCUACGGGAGGCAGCAGUGGGGAAUAUUGCACAAUGGGCGCAAGCCUGAUGCAGCCAUGCCGCGUGUAUGAAGAAGGCCUUCGGGUUGUAAAGUACUUUCAGCAGUGAGGAAGGCAGGUACGUUAAUAGCGUGCUUGUUUGACGUUAGCUGCAGAAGAAGCACCGGCUAACUCCGUGCCAGCAGCCGCGGUAAUACGGAGGGUGCGAGCGUUAAUCGGAAUUACUGGGCGUAAAGCGCAUGCAGGUGGUUUGUUAAGUCAGAUGUGAAAGCCCGGGGCUCAACCUCGGAAUUGCAUUUGAAACUGGCAGACUAGAGUACUGUAGAGGGGGGUAGAAUUUCAGGUGUAGCGGUGAAAUGCGUAGAGAUCUGAAGGAAUACCGGUGGCGAAGGCGGCCCCCUGGACAGAU